ACCGCGGUCGCCUGUAGUUUCAGUUUGUUUCAGUCGAUCGUACAAGUCGGACGUGUUUAUGCACCGCUCGCGCUCCUUCGCACGCAACGUCAGUUACACGUACACGCACACAUUUGCACACGUAUGUAGACCGAUACCACAACUGAUUCGUGACGAUAUAAACUUCGAAGUCGCUUUUCCAAUCAAAUGCAACCGCUCGAACACGUUGGACGUGUUUAAAAAAAAGCUCUCGCAAAUCGCAAGAGUGUUCAUUCAAGCCUCUUCGCGUCACGUGCUGGCUGAGGAACGUUCAUUUGUGUCAUUCUUCGAUAUCUUUUUGUUUUUCUCGAGGAGAUUCUCGCGUCACUCGCGUGCCGUGCGCUGGGCGCGUUCGAAACGCGCGCUAACAUCGCCGGCUGAUCACGUGAUACGUUUGCCGUAUCGACCGCCGGCUCCGGCCGCUCUGAUUGGUCCGGCUGAGCCACGUGACCGCGCGCAACGUCAGUUCGGACUACCGUCUGCUUGUGGUGUCACUGGUGUCAGGUCUACACUUGUCAACGCACGUUCGACGGGGGAACAAAGGAUCUCAGCGGAGAGAAAGACUACUCUCCGAGCCGCCUAGUUCGCCUACGUCGCGUCCGUCUUUUCUCGUCUCGCGUCGAGAGUUUGCCAGAAUUGUCUUCGCUUAUACUCGCGUCGCGUCGUGGUAUCCUGGACGCGCUGGAUCAGGAUUCGCGCACAACGUCACAGUACCGAGAAGUGCGUUCGUGAUACGGCGAGACAGGUGUUCUUGACAGCUCGCCGUCGCCGUAACGGCGUCGUCGGCGACCCGCGAAACGCGGUGUCAUUGAGUACAUAGGGACGAGAAAUCGUUGACUCUGUCUCGAAAUCAUCACGACUCUGGAUAGAUUCGCCGAGCGAUAAUAAUUUCGCGAUCUCCUCUUCGCGACUUUUCGCAUCUCUAAUUCUUUCUCUCUCGCACGCGGGAGACCUUCGGACUGAAGACUGCCGCGAAUACUUACGUUUCCCUUUCACCGCGCCGCGAAUUUCUAACAACACUUUGACUAAAUUCGUGUCUCUCCCUUUCCCGUUCCACCCCCUCAUCCAUUGUCGGUCGUAUUCCGCGGCCUGUGCUGCGCGGGCUUAGGACAUGUACAGCAUGAACUAUAUCGCCAAGAUCAUCAGCAAUUUCCGUCUCUUCUACAACGAGAUCAACGCCGCGACGCUCACCGGCGCGAUCGAUGUCAUCGUCAUCGAGCAACCGGACGGCUCCUUCACGUGCUCGCCCUUCCAUGUCCGUUUCGGCAAACUCGGCGUACUCCGUUCCAGAGCGAAAGUGGUGGACAUUGAGAUAAAUGGAGAACCCAGGGAAAUUCAUAUGAAACUUGGAGAUUCUGGCGAAGCAUUUUUUGUUGAAGAAGUUAGCUCAAAUGGAUCUCCGACAGACACCGAAAUCCCACCGCAUUUGGCCUGUUCACCUAUACCCGAUAAUUGUUUCCCACCGCCGAAAUUUAAUCUGUUGUCAGAUUUGCCUCAGGAGCAGAGAGAGAAGAUUCUCAUAGACUCAGUUCUUUCCAUAGAGCGAGAGAAAUGGGAGCAGAUGUCCGCCUUGCCACCUGAUCAACGGGAGAAGUUUCUGAUUGAACAAUUCUCUGAUCUUCCCGCGGAACAUCGUGAGAAAUGGCUUCAGAUUGCUUCAUUGACUGUAGAAGAGCGAGAUGAGAUGUUCAAGGAAAGUUUCGGUACCAUAUCUCCAGAGCAGAAGCAGCAGAUGAUCAGGGAACAGUAUUCCGCUUUGAAAACAGAGGACAAAGAGAGAUUGUUUAAGGAGAAUUUUCCUGAGCUUUCGAUCGAACAGAGACAAAAUUUCGAGAAAGCUUUAUUGAGUGAUUGGAAGGAGAAAGAGGAAAAAUGGGAGGAGAAACACGAUAAGAACGAUGACGAAGAGAUAUUUGAUAUGGAUGCUAUCAGUAAUGAGCAGCCGAAAUCAAUGAUUUCUUGUCCGAAGUCUUUCGUGGCUGUUACUUCGUCCGAGAGAAUUCGUAAGAUAAGCGUGGUGAAAAAUGAUUUUAGGCCGAUUACGGAUGACCCUCAAAGCAUUAAUAAGGAAAAAUCUAGUGACGAAUCAAACUCUUCUUCGAGCAAGAAGAAGGAAGAGAAUGUUGAUGAGAAUAAGAGUAACAAUUCGACUAAGAGGAAACGUAAGAGGAAGAGUAUUAUGAAGAAGAAAGGCUCGCAGAGGAAAACAAGCAAUGGCAAUAUCAGUCAGACAGAAUUGAGUGAGACUGAUGCAGUUUUUACCGAAGAGUCAAUUAGCGAAACGAUAUUUAAGGGUCCUCCUCCAACGGCAGAGGAAGAAACUAAUAUCAUUGCGGAAUCAGCGACAUCCUCUCAGGACGUAAUUGAAAAACGACCUGAAACUGAUUUCCACUUCUUUAGUGACUCAGAAGUUACUAAAAAUAAGGACUCCAGACCAUGUUCGCCUGUUCAAUCGGAUACAGAAUUUGAAGUACGUAAAAUUACGCAAGAGAGUAGUGAGAGAGAAGAUGACAAGGGUCAUCAGCAGAGUUGGAGAUGGGGUGAAUUGCCCAGUCCACCUCCAGAGCCGGCGCAUAUGUCGCAUAGGAAUUCGUUAAAUUCUUUGGCAACUGCUAGUCAGCCAAAUAAAGAUGCACAACGAUCUAUGCUCAGUGGCAUGUUCUCCUUUAUGAAGAAGACUUCUCGCGUAAGACACAAUCCGGAAUCGGAAGGAAUUUAUCUUAGCGAUCUUAAUGCCGACGAACUGGAUCCCGAAGUUGCGGCUUUGUACUUUCCCUCCUCACAUCGAGGCCCAACAAUGAUUAAAGAUGGAAAAACGGUAGAUGAAGAAGAUACAGAAUCAGGUAACGGACCGAGUUUACCUCAAAGCCCCAACAGUGUUGAGGGAGCUAUCGGUGGACCAAAGUCUUUGGAUAGCGACUUCGAGGAACCAAAGCAUUCUAUAUUCGAUAAUAGCAUAGAAAUAAGUUUAUCUCUAUGCGGUGGUUUGGACAAUGAAAAUGGACCAUCCAAGGAAGCUUUUAACGAAAAUUUACUGCACUUUGAGGACGUUUGUACCGAUCCAAAACUAUAUGAAAAUCCGAAUUUGGUCGUAAAAAUCAACGGGAAAUUCUACAAUUGGACGACAGCUUGUCGGAUAGUAUUGACCUAUGUUGUUUUCCAAAGACAUUUACCGCAAAGUGUAAUCGAAAAUCUAUAUAUGUCAUUGCCGGUACAUGAAGAUAAGAAACGACAGAGCAGCGAUAAGUCCGAGAGUCGUAGUGGAUACAGUUCAUGGUUCUCUUGGAGGCGUUCCACGCAACCUUCUAAAAAAUCGCAGGAUACUCAAAACGACGAAAUUGCUGUGCAAACACCAGAUCAAUCUGUAGAAGUUAAGACUGUGACAAACGAUGAAUUAUCUUCGGCUAAUAGGGAAAAGACUGAGCAAAACACAGAUUCGUCAAGCUCAACAGAGAUAAUGGAAAUAAUAUCUUGUACAAGAUUGCCACCUGCAUCGAAUGAAACUACACUUACAAAGACUGAAAAAACACGUGAGGGAGAAGGCGAAGGAUAUAGUGGCGGUGAGGAUUCUGACAGUAAUCAUAACGAACCAGCGGGUGUUAAGAUACCUGUGGAAAGAAGACCAUAUUACGAGUCCACGGAAAAGUAUCGUAAAACUCUGCGACUCUCGUCCGAACAGAUAGCUAGUCUUGAUCUAAAGGACGGCGCUAACGAAGUAGUCUUUAGCGUAACCACUGCUUACCAGGGUACGAAACGUUGCAAAUGCCAUAUCUACAAGUGGAAGUGGGACGAUAAAAUCGUUAUUUCUGAUAUCGAUGGCACCAUUACGAAAUCCGAUGUGUUGGGUCACAUCCUACCAAUAGUAGGCAAGGAUUGGGCUCAAUCCGGGGUCGCUCAAUUAUUUACGAAGAUAAAAAAUAAUGGCUACAAACUAUUAUAUCUCUCAGCGAGAGCAAUUGGCCAGGCUGGUGGAACUCGGGAAUAUCUGAGAAACUUGAGACAAGGGGAUCUGACGCUGCCAGAAGGCCCGUUACUCUUGAAUCCUACGAGUUUGAUUCUGGCAUUUCAUCGCGAGGUGAUAGAGAAGAAGCCAGAAGAAUUCAAGAUAUCCUGUCUGAAAGAUAUUCAGGCGUUAUUUCCUGAAGGAUCUGAGCCAUUUUACGCUGGAUAUGGAAAUCGCAUAAAUGAUGUGUGGGCGUAUCGAGCAGUAGGCAUUCCUAUAAUGCGGAUCUUUACUAUAAACCAUCGAGGAGAAUUGAAGCACGAAUUGACACAGACAUUCCAAUCUUCUUAUGCGCGUCAGUGCAAUAUCGUCAAUGACGUGUUCCCGCCACAACCUAUGCCAAACGUCUACUGAUAGCACAACCAUAAAUUUUAAUAAUAUUGAUUAAAUUAAUUAUAUUGAAGUAUUAUAUAUUAAUAUGCCAAUAGCAUAUCCGGCAUUAAUGCAUUGUUGAAUUAUGUUUGAGAUAUUGCCAUACAUAAUUGCGCUACAUUUUGUGAUAAUUGACAUAGUACAAAAUUAAAAUAUAUUUUAUAUAUGCUGUGAGUACACUGAGAACACACGAGUGAUAUAACAAACAAUCAGGGAAACUCGUUUCCAAUUAUAAAUAUUUAAAUUACAUAUGUUAAAUGUAACCAUAAUUUGCUUAUAUUUUGGAACAUAUUUGGUUGUGCGCGACAACUUCUAUCUUCUUAUGAUUUAUAGGAUAUUCGAACAUGAGUUUCAUCGUCGACCAAGUAUUUCCAGCACGGCGAGAAGACGCAACUGAUGAAUUU